GUUGUUCGGAUUUACUGGGCUUACAGGGCGCGCAGGCGGCUUUGUUUGUCCGGCGUGAAAGCCCCGGGCUUAACCUGGGAACUGCGUUUGAUACGGCAGGGCUAGAGUUCGGGAGAGGAGAGUGGAAUUCCCAGUGUAGAGGUGAAAUUCGUAGAUAUUGGGAAGAACACCGGUGGCGAAGGCGGCUCUCUGGACCGAUACUGACGCUGAGGCGCGAAAGCGUGGGGAGCAAACAGG
rnacentral:rRNA from 1 species